rnacentral:lncRNA from 1 species
GCCGGAUGAGGCGGGCGGAGAGCUGAGUCUGCACGGAGAAGGGGAAAAGGUCUCUGCUCAGUGGAGGGCGUGGCUCCUAUUACGGGACGGUUGCAGAAUUGGACCCCGAGUGGUGGACCCACAAAUGGUAGACCGGAGAGGCAGGCUUACACCUUCGUGAGGCGGUCACGCCGCGUAAUAAGGCAGAGGGGACCCACCACCAAGAAACCCACUGCCGAGACCGUCAUUCAACAAGCGCUUUGCUCCCAGAAGUGUCCUCCCAGCUCUCAUCCAACCGCAGGAGCAAGCCCGAUGGAGAUCCCUGGCCGUCAAAACAACAAGAGCAUUUUAAAAAUCCCUGCACAAAAAAAAAAAAAAAAGAUGGGCAAAGGUUGGACCUGGGGUGUGGGUCCGUGGUGGAGCCCUUGCCUAGCAUGCUUCAGACCCUAGGUUCCAUCCCCAGCACCGCAUAAAACAGCCGGGUUGGGGAGCAAGGAUCUGAAUAGACAGUUCUCCAAAAAGGUCAUGUAAAUGAACAACACGUACAGGUAAAGAUGCUCCGCACCUUCAGUCAUCGGGAAAUGCAAAUCAAAGCCGGGCUGAGAUAGUAGUUCCUGCCCACUAGGCUGGCUUUGAUUCAAAACAAAACAAAUCUGAACAGACGAAAAAGGAAAGCAAAUGAAUGUUGGCAAAGAUGUGGAGAAAUAGGAACCCUCCUACGCUGCUGGUGAGGUGGUGAAAUGGUGCAGGCCGAUGUGAAAAACAGUUUUGGGCUGUUCCUCAAAAGUUAAACAGAAAUACCACAUGACACAGCAAUGAUGCUCCUAGGUAUGUACUCAAGAGAGAUAAACACACAUCCACUCCAGCUGGUAUGUGGCCACACCCAUAUUCUGGAGGCUGAGGCAGGAGGAUCCCAAGUUCAAGACCAGCCUGGGCAAUUUAGCAAGACCCUGUCUCAAAAUUUAAGAUGGGUGAAGCCCUGGGUUCAAUUCCAAGCACUUCAUAAAACAAACUUCUACACAAAUAUUCAUGAUGGCCUUUUUCAUGGUAGUCAAAAUGUGUAAACAACCCAGAUGUCCUUCAACUGGUGAAAGGAUAAUGACCCAUUCAGACAUGGCAAAUUGAGGUGUCCUUUUACUGCUCCUGAAAGUUGGCUCAGUGUGUGUGCAUGGGUGUGGAAUCUCCUGGGAGGUGGGAGCCCCUCUACCAUUCCCCAAGACUCCCUGCAUUUGGGCAGAAUCCUGCAAGGAGAGUAGACACCACGGUACCCGAUUUCUACUUUUUUCCUUGUGGUGUGAAAUGGUGUGUAUUAUACAAAUGCACAUCUGUCUGAUUCCCAUGAGCUCCACAGCCACCAUAGGAUCUGGCGCAGUCACUCAGCAUGUGGAACAUGAUCCAUCUGGGAAUUUAAAUUUCCUAGUAGCCACAUGUAAAACAAAAUUUCUGGCAGAAUUCAUUUUAAUUAAGUACUGUUUUAUUAAAAAUAUUUUUGUUUUAACAUGUAAUCAAACUCAACUAUUAUUAAUGGGGUAUUCUAUGUCAUUUUUGUCAAACCCAGUCUUAGGAUCCAGUGCGUAUUACAUCCCCCUCUUGAUGCUAAUUUGCAUCAGAAAUCCUUGAUCUCUUUUUACAUUUUACAGUGGGAAAAAACAGGUUUGCAUUGCCAGGUAUUUCAAACAGGCAUAGAAGUUUUCUGAGCACUGAAUCAAAGUAUCAGCUUUAUUUCCUCUACAUUUAAAUUGCUUAAAUUUUUAUUUUUUUUAUUGUUAUUUUUUGUGGUGCUGUGGAUUGAACCCAGGGCUUUGCGCAGGCAAGGCAAGUACUCUCCCAACUGAGCUAUAUCCCCAGCCCCUAAAUUGCUUAAAUUUUGAAAACUACAAAUUCAGUUCCAGAGUGGCACCAACUAGUUAGGGGCCACCAUGCUGGCUGGUGAAGAUGUAGACUAUAUCCUCCAUCACAGACAGUUCUGGGAGGUCCGGGACAGUGCCAGGCACAGACAGGAUCCCAGCACAUGGGCCGGGGGCCAGAGCAUAACUUAGCGUGCAGCCUGUACUCAGUGAGUACAAGUGUCACUGGAGAAGAGGUGGCCCAGGAGAAGGGUGAAGUUCCUGGAGAGAGCAGAGAACUGACUCAGGCUCAAUGGGGCCCUUGGCUCAUGUGACAGAAAAGAAUUCCAGUGCUUGCCAGCCCUGGGCAUGGAGAGAGGCUUGUGUAGGAAGCAGAUGCGCCCUCCAGGUUGGAUGCAGCCAUCUCCAGAGGGAGAGGUCCCGAGGGCUCCUCUUCAAAGCAAUCUUAGGGAGGGGUGGGCACGGGAAGCUGUGUGGGUGACAUGGGUCUGGUCACUCUGAGAUCCUGAGGCUGACAUGGUCUGUUAUCUGAUCCGUAAAUAGGAAUGGAAGGUCUCCUAAGCUAUAGAUUUCUUAAAACGUCCUCUCUUUGCUGCUUCUAUGUUCUAGGGUGGAUUAGCUCUGCAUAGGCAGAGUCACGGAUUUCCCAGGAAUCCAGGAGUGACAGGCGGCCCUUCUGACCCACAGCCUGGCUCCCUGUCACUCCUUCAGGGUCCUGUCUACCUGGUUUUUUCUUCUAAUUUCUUCUGUCCUACUUCAAAAGGACUUCGGUUCCAUCCCUAGCACACAAAAGAAAGAAAAAAUGUUGCACUGAGCAGCUUGUUAGUGACCAUCUUCCCCCUGACCAGCCCUGAUUGCUCUUUCCUCAGACCAGUACCAGGCUCAAGAGAGAUGCUUCUGGUCAGCGAGGGCUCCCUGCCCCACCGAGGCAUCAGCACGUCAGCUAAGGUGCAACCUGGAGAAGUCACCCAAACCACCCAGGCGCACUAUACCUUUCUGAAAAAAUUGGCCAUGUGCGGACAGGCCACAAGCUGAGGAACCCCACGGAUGGCCAGUUACCAGGAAGGACCGGAAGGACGCUCCCCAGAGCCAGGAGAGAGGCUGGCCCUGCUGACACCUCCAUCAGGGACUUCUGGCUGCCAGGACCCUGCAGAAGUAGCCGUGGUGGAACAGACACCCUCUGAAACUAAGGGCAACUUCCUGAAAACUGGUUUUUCUGUAGCCUCCGGAGCAGCCCCUUCUGAAGUGGAAGCUCCAGAUUGCUUUAACUUCUAAACUGCCUCUUACUGGGAACGGAGGCCUACUCAUACAGAGGGGACUCCCCAGAAUCAGGACGCCACGCUGCCUGGCUAACUGACCCUUCUCUUAGAACAAGUUCCCUGUCCCUGGGGUUUUCUGAAGAUGGGGAUUUGAGGCAAAAAUGUCUCCUCUACCUUCCUUCAAAGCUGGCUUUGAAUAAGACGAUUUUCCUGCUAGUUCAACAGCCUUCCUUUGUGGCAGGAGGCCUAGCCUCUCGCCCCCACCCUGGGGUGAAGGCAGAGGGGGGAACACAGGUGCCUGGGCUUCUCCUUGGUAUCAGUUACACACAGGUGUGUCUGCAGGGCCCAGACACCAAGUUCUCAGACUCACACAAGCCUCGUUUUGGGUGUGGCUUCUGGUAUCUGUUUCCUGUACCCCUGGGCCUAUCUCCUCCCGCAGAGCCUCCUGGGGGCCCUCACACCUGGCACUCUGCCCUGUCGGCACAGCCUCUGGCCUUCUAGAAAACUCAGUAAACCUCAGCCUGAGCCACAGUGGGACUGGGGGGUGGGGUCCUGGGGACCGCCCGCAGGCUGCCCCAAAGCUGGUUAUCUAGAGCCUCCUUUGACGUGGGAGGCAGCACAACUUUGGGAAGUCGGUUUCAUGAGGCCAGUGAUGGCAUCUGCUUCCUUCCGUGUCUUUGGCGUCCAGGGCUAUGCUUUUUACAUAGGCGUUUCUGCUCAUCUUGAAUCAGCGUUGUCUUAAAACAGCAGUUGGCCCGUCGUCAAAGUGACUGCUCUCUGCUUUGCUGUGCGUGGAAUAGUUUUCAUGAA